rnacentral:rRNA from 1 species
CCUACGGGAGGCAGCAGUGGGGAAUAUUGGGCAAUGGGCGCAAGUCUGACCCAGCAACGCCGCGUGAAGGAAGAAGGCUUUCGGGUUGUAAACUUCUUUUCUGAGGGACGAAGAAAGUGACGGUACCUCAGGAAUAAGCCACGGCUAACUACGUGCCAGCAGCCGCGGUAAUACGUAGGUGGCAAGCGUUAUCCGGAUAUAUUGGGUGGAAAGGGCGUGGAGGCGGGAAUGCAAGUCAGAUGUGAAAACUCAGGGCUCAACCCUGAGCCUGCAUUUGAAACUGUUGUUCUUGAGUGCUGGAGAGGCAAUCGGAAGUCCGGGUGUAGCGGUGAAAUGCGUAGAUAUACGGAGGAACACCAGUGGCGAAGGCGGAUUGCUGGACAGUAACUGACGCUGAGGCGCGAAAGCGUGGGGAGCAAACAGGAUUAGAUACCCCAGUAGUC